rnacentral:lncRNA from 1 species
CGUGAGUAUAUAAGAACAGCGGGCCCUGCUGCUUGCUCUCUUCCUCGUGUAGUCUUCCGUGCGAGUGCAAGUCCCCAAGAAAGAUCUAUGGGUCUAUUUGAAAUGGCAGUUCAACCUUGCUUCCCACCAUGCAGAAUGCAGGUGAGUCUUUAAACUAAAAUUAGUUGUCCCAUCGUGAAAAGGCUCCUAUCGAAGCCGUUCAUGCUCCCAUGUAGCAGUGAACGGUCAAAAGGAAGCCGACAUGAAGACUUUCACCGACGGUCGCUGUUCAGUUUUGAAAAUAACUGUUACAGCAACAUUUAGGGGAAGGACAUUGAUCAGUGACUUAUCCCAGGAUUAAAUGCACACUUUCAAAGAAAUGUAAGUGAUUUGCCUUGUCUUCCAACAGGUACUGGGUGACACCAAAGGUGCAAGGCCAAAACCAUCAAAUGAGAAGAAAACAUGCAGGUGAAUGGAGACCUGUCAUUUGUGAAUGAAAACUGCUGCUCAUUCAGGCAUCUAUCCGCUUGUGACCUCCUGGUGUUGCAGAGGUGUAACGAAGUGCAUUCACAUCUGUAAUUUACAGGUAUGGUGCUACGUUGGGAGUGACGUGACAAUUCCAUGAGAAUUGGUGCCGACUUUCCGGCCAGGUACAAACACUACUGAAGAGAAACUUGGAACGGAGCUUUCUUGCAGCUGUGAAAUGCAUGCACCUGUUGACCUGGCUCUUUUAAGAAGGCUGAACCUAAGAAAAUUAACCUUGUAUGUGUGACAAUUGCAGAUUGUAAUAAAACUGACUUGACUACCUCUGGAAACUUGUCUGUAACAUGAUCUAAAGAAUGGAG